rnacentral:rRNA from 1 species
GACGAACGCUGGCGGCGUGCUUAACACAUGCAAGUCGAACGGAAAGGCCCCUUCGGGGGCACUCGAGUGGCGAACGGGUGAGUAACACGUGGGUGAUCUGCCCUGCACUUUGGGAUAAGCCUGGGAAACUGGGUCUAAUACCGGAUAGGACCAUGGCCUGCAUGGGUUGUGGUGGAAAGCUUUUGCGGUGUGGGAUGGGCCCGCGGCCUAUCAGCUUGUUGGUGGGGUGAUGGCCUACCAAGGCUUCGACGGGUAGCCGGCCUGAGAGGGUGUCCGGCCACACUGGGACUGAGAUACGGCCCAGACUCCUACGGGAGGCAGCAGUGGGGAAUAUUGCACAAUGGGCGCAAGCCUGAUGCAGCGACGCCGCGUGGGGGAUGACGGCCUUCGGGUUGUAAACCUCUUUCACCAUCGACGAAGCCUCUUCGGGGGUGACGGUAGGUGGAGAAGAAGCACCGGCCAACUACGUGCCAGCAGCCGCCGUAAAAC